ACGCCUGGAGACAGGUGCCCCGCUUGCGGUCGGUUUACAGGUGGUGCAUGGUUGUCGUCAGCUCGUGUCGUGAGAUGUUGGGUUAAGUCCCGCAACGAGCGCAACCCUCGUUCUAUGUUGCCAGCACGUGAUGGUGGGGACUCAUAGGAGACUGCCGGGGUCAACUCGGAGGAAGGUGGGGAUGACGUUACGGUCUUACU
rnacentral:misc_RNA from 1 species